AAAUUGAAGAGUUUGAUCAUGGCUCAGAUUGAACGCUGGCGGCAGGCCUAACACAUGCAAGUCGAACGGUAACAGGAAGCAGCUUGCUGCUUCGCUGACGAGUGGCGGACGGGUGAGUAAUGUCUGGGAAACUGCCUGAUGGAGGGGGAUAACUACUGGAAACGGUGGCUAAUACCGCAUAACGUCGCAAGACCAAAGAGGGGGACCUUCGGGCCUCUUGCCAUCAGAUGUGCCCAGAUGGGAUUAGCUUGUUGGUGAGGUAACGGCUCACCAAGGCGACGAUCCCUAGCUGGUCUGAGAGGAUGACCAGCCACACUGGAACUGAGACACGGUCCAGACUCCUACGGGAGGCAGCAGUGGGGAAUAUUGCACAAUGGGCGCAAGCCUGAUGCAGCCAUGCCGCGUGUAUGAAGAAGGCCUUCGGGUUGUAAAGUACUUUCAGCGGGGAGGAAGGUGUUGUGGUUAAUAACCGCAGCAAUUGACGUUACCCGCAGAAGAAGCACCGGCUAACUCCGUGCCAGCAGCCGCGGUAAUACGGAGGGUGCAAGCGUUAAUCGGAAUUACUGGGCGUAAAGCGCACGCAGGCGGUCUGUCAAGUCGGAUGUGAAAUCCCCGGGCUCAACCUGGGAACUGCAUUCGAAACUGGCAGGCUUGAGUCUUGUAGAGGGGGGUAGAAUUCCAGGUGUAGCGGUGAAAUGCGUAGAGAUCUGGAGGAAUACCGGUGGCGAAGGCGGCCCCCUGGACAAAGACUGACGCUCAGGUGCGAAAGCGUGGGGAGCAAACAGGAUUAGAUACCCUGGUAGUCCACGCCGUAAACGAUGUCUACUUGGAGGUUGUGCCCUUGAGGCGUGGCUUCCGGAGCUAACGCGUUAAGUAGACCGCCUGGGGAGUACGGCCGCAAGGUUAAAACUCAAAUGAAUUGACGGGGGCCCGCACAAGCGGUGGAGCAUGUGGUUUAAUUCGAUGCAACGCGAAGAACCUUACCUGGUCUUGACAUCCACAGAACUUUCCAGAGAUGGACUGGUGCCUUCGGGAACUGUGAGACAGGUGCUGCAUGGCUGUCGUCAGCUCGUGUUGUGAAAUGUUGGGUUAAGUCCCGCAACGAGCGCAACCCUUAUCCUUUGUUGCCAGCGGUUAGGCCGGGAACUCAAAGGAGACUGCCAGUGAUAAACUGGAGGAAGGUGGGGAUGACGUCAAGUCAUCAUGGCCCUUACGACCAGGGCUACACACGUGCUACAAUGGCGCAUACAAAGAGAAGCGACCUCGCGAGAGCAAGCGGACCUCAUAAAGUGCGUCGUAGUCCGGAUUGGAGUCUGCAACUCGACUCCAUGAAGUCGGAAUCGCUAGUAAUCGUGGAUCAGAAUGCCACGGUGAAUACGUUCCCGGGCCUUGUACACACCGCCCGUCACACCAUGGGAGUGGGUUGCAAAAGAAGUAGGUAGCUUAACCUUCGGGAGGGCGCUUACCACUUUGUGAUUCAUGACUGGGGUGAAGUCGUAACAAGGUAACCGUAGGGGAACCUGCGGUUGGAUCACCUCCUUA
rnacentral:rRNA from 3 species